AGAGUUUGAUCCUGGCUCAGGAUGAACGCUAGCUACAGGCUUAACACAUGCAAGUCGAGGGGCAGCAUGGUCUUAGCUUGCUAAGGCCGAUGGGGACCGGCGCACGGGUGGGUAACGCGUAUCCAACCUGCCUUACACUCUUGGACAGCCUUCUGAAAGGGAGAUUAAUACAAGAUGUUAUCAUGAGUAAGCAUUUUCGCAUGAUUAAAGGUUUACCGGUGUAAGAUGGGGAUGCGUUCCAUUAGAUAGUAGGCGGGGUAACGGCCCACCUAGUCUUCGAUGGAUAGGGGUUCUGAGAGGAAGGUCCCCCACAUUGGAACUGAGACACGGUCCAAACUCCUACGGGAGGCAGCAGUGAGGAAUAUUGGUCAAUGGACGAGAGUCUGAACCAGCCAAGUAGCGUGAAGGAUGAAGGUUCUAUGGAUUGUAAACUUCUUUUAUACGGGAAUAAACGAAUCCACGUGUGGAUUUUUGCAUGUACCGUAUGAAUAAGGAUCGGCUAACUCCGUGCCAGCAGCCGCGGUAAUACGGAGGAUCCGAGCGUUAUCCGGAUUUAUUGGGUUUAAAGGGAGCGUAGAUGGGUUGUUAAGUCAGUUGUGAAAGUUUGCGGCUCAACCGUAAAAUUGCAAUUGAUACUGGCAGUCUUGAGUACAGUUGAGGUAGGCGGAAUUCGUGGUGUAGCGGUGAAAUGCUUAGAUAUCACGAAGAACUCCGAUUGCGAAGGCAGCUUACUAACCUGUAACUGACAUUGAUGCUCGAAAGUGUGGGUAUCAAACAGGAUUAGAUACCCUGGUAGUCCACACGGUAAACGAUGAAUACUCGCUGUAGGCGAUAUACAGUCUGCGGCCAAGCGAAAGCAUUAAGUAUUCCACCUGGGGAGUACGCCGGCAACGGUGAAACUCAAAGGAAUUGACGGGGGCCCGCACAAGCGGAGGAACAUGUGGUUUAAUUCGAUGAUACGCGAGGAACCUUACCCGGGCUUAAAUUGCAACCGAAUAUGGCGGAAACGCUAUAGCUAGCAAUAGCGGUUGUGAAGGUGCUGCAUGGUUGUCGUCAGCUCGUGCCGUGAGGUGUCGGCUUAAGUGCCAUAACGAGCGCAACCCUUGCCGAUAGUUACUAACAGGUUAUGCUGAGGACUCUGUCGGGACUGCCAUCGUAAGAUGUGAGGAAGGUGGGGAUGACGUCAAAUCAGCACGGCCCUUACGUCCGGGGCUACACACGUGUUACAAUGGGGGGUACAGAGGGCUGCUACCACGCAAGUGGAUGCCAAUCCCAAAAACCUCUCUCAGUUCGGAUUGAAGUCUGCAACCCGACUUCAUGAAGCUGGGUUCGCUAGUAAUCGCGCAUCAGCCACGGCGCGGUGAAUACGUUCCCGGGCCUUGUACACACCGCCCGUCAAGCCAUGGGAGCCGGGGGUACCUGAAGUGCGUAACCGCAAGGAGCGCCCUAGGGUAAAACUGGUGACUGGGGCUAAGUCGUAACAAGGUAGCCG
rnacentral:rRNA from 1 species